GAUGAACGCUAGCUACAGGCUUAACACCUGCAAGUCGAGGGACCGGCGCACGGGUGAGUAACACGUAUCCAACCUGCCCUUUACUCAGGGAUAGCCUUUCGAAAGAAAGAUUAAUACCCGAUAUAAAGGAUGGGGAUGCGUUCCAUUAGGUUGUUGGUAAGGUAACGGCCCAACAAGCCUUCGAUGGAUAGGGGUUCUUAGAUGAAGGUCCCACACAUCGGAACUGAGACACGUUCCAAACUCCUACGGGAGGCAGCAGUGAGGAAGAUUGGUCAAUUGGCUUUAGCCUGAACCAGCCAAGUAGCGUGAAGGAUGAAGGUUUAUGUGUCGUAAACUUCUUUUAUAUAAGAAUAUGGAUUAUAUGAAUAAGGAUCGGCUAACUCCGUGCCAGCCGCCGCGGUAAUUC
rnacentral:rRNA from 1 species